UACCAGCACCCCGAGUGGUCGGGACGAUUAUUGGGCCUAAAGCAUCCGUAGCCGGUCAUGCAAGUCUUCCGUUAAAUCCAGCCGCUCAACGGUUGGGCUGCGGAGGAUACUAUAGGGCUAGGAGGCGGGAGAGGCAAGCGGUACUCAGUGGGUAGGGGUAAAAUCCUCUGAUCCAUUGAAGACCACCAGUGGCGAAGGCGGCUUGCCAGAACGCGCUCGACGGUGAGGGAUGAAAGCUGGGGGAGCAAACCGG
rnacentral:rRNA from 1 species